CCCAACUAUCCCUAUUAAUCAUUACGUCAAUCCUAGAAACCAACAAAAUAGGAUCGAACGUCCUAUUUCAUUAUUCCAUGCUAAUGUAUUCAAGCGCAUGCCUGCUUUAAACACUCUAAUUUUUUCAAAGUAACAGUCCUGAUUCCCCGCAACACCAAAUUAAUGGCAUUACGGUUCGUCAAGAGGGAGGAAUCAGCAACGCCAGUACGUACCAGUGGCACGACCGACAUGCUGACCCCGAAAUUCAACUACGAGCUUUUUAACUGCAACAACUUUAAUAUACGCUAUUGGAGCUGGAAUUACCGCGGCUGCUGGCACCAGACUUGCCCUCCAA
rnacentral:misc_RNA from 1 species